GGCUCUGUGGUGCAAUAGCUAGCAUGUUGGACUUCUAUACUAACAAAAGCAAUUCAAAAGUUGUGGGUUCAAGUCCCACCAGAGUCA
rnacentral:tRNA from 1 species